UUGACAGAAUCAAACGAUAAUGAUUAUCAUUACUUCACCAAAUGACGACGGUCGUAUCAUUUGGUCUCUCUCAUCAGGAGCUUUCAGCUCUUUUUAUGCCCCGCCUCUGGCGGGGCUUUUUUAU
rnacentral:sRNA from 1 species